GUAUUGGAAUUGUGCAAAUCUUCUUGGUUACAGCAAAACCAAUUCAACACUUUUUCAAUUUUUACACGUUUCUUCAUUCCAAUACGCACAUUUUUCAUCUCUUUCCCUCUCCCUCUCUCUCUCUCUCAGACAAAACUUAACCCUUCUUUCUUUCUUUCUUUCUUUCUUUCUUCCAUUUUCACUCCUCUCUCUUUUUCCUUCAAACCCUUGAACCACCGCCUGUUUACGGCCACCACACAUCCGCCAACACUGUCACUCCGCUGCGCGGGACCAAACAACAACCACCACUUUCAGAUUAUACGCGAUUAUUUCUCUUUUCCUUUCACUCUAUUGAUUUCAGGGUUUGUGCUUCUAAUCCUCAUUGUUUUGAUUUUCGAUUUUAGGUUUUGCCAUCAAAAAACAUGUCUUAUUGCUUAUUUCUGACCACUGUGAAUCGUAUCCCUUGCAAGCUUAUUAUAAGAGUAUUUGAAAGAAGAAAACACUCAGAUCCUGCAACAACAAACAAAUUACAUGAGUUUCAAUUUUUCAAUCUCUUCUUAUUGUUGAUUUAAGGAUUGCAAUCAUGGUGUUUGGAACAAACUUCAUAGGUAAAGCAAACUGGAAGCCCUUACUUUCGGUCAACAAAAUGAUGCAAACACUCUAACAUUUUCUCAAUAUGAUGC